GGUUCUUUGUGUCUGGGGGUGGGCGUCCGGGUACACACCGGCUCACUCCUUGGCGGCCGCUUAUCGGGGCCUGGAGCCUGGGGCUCGCUCGGGCCACUUCGGAGGCUCGGUCACUCAGGCACAGCUGGCUACCGGCGGAGCUCACGGGCGCGUCACUGCAACUCCCCCUGGCUUCUGCUCCGCGGCUGCUGAGUGAGCCCUCAUCUGGGACUCUCCUCAGCUCUUACUGGGACAGUGGCGCGGCUGCCCCUCUGUUGGUCUUCCUUGGUCUCUUGUGUUCUGGGGGCCUCUGGAUGUCUGGAGUUUUGAUCUCCUCCAUACCUGCUUCAUACCCUGGAGGACGGGGCUGUGGCUCCCCACACUCCCUAGCAGAUCGUUACAUGGAGAAACCUUUGGAAUGCAAGCAUGCUGAUCCACACAGGUAUGCACACAGGUGUACACACGGGUAUUCACAGACGCGGACUGCAGCUUUCUUGGCUGCUGCCUCAAAGCACAUUGUGUGCUGUCUAUCUUGCGUGCUGCACAAUAUCGUUUAUUAUUUAGUAUCUACUGAUAUCUACUGCUAGCUAGUUUAUUGUGAUGGUGCCGUUUUUUUUUUUAUUAUGUUGCUCUUUGUUGUUUGCUUUCUCUUCUGUUUUUUUUCUCCAUACAGGUGACCCAGGUGUUUUGUUUUUUUUGUUUGUUUUUCUUUCUUUCUUCUCCCCCUUCUCACCGUCUCUUCUCCCCUUUGGUUUUCUUUCUCUCCCUCUCUUUCUUUCAUUCUUUCUCCCUGUCCUAUCCCCCAGUCAUGUCUGUCCCGUUUGUAGCAACUGAAAAUAAAAUAAAUUCAUAAUUAUAAUAAAGGUCAAUCAAAUGGACCAAUAUGGCAAGGCCAUGAUGAUCCACUUGGUAAAAUAAAUCCGCUUGGCAUCUUUCUUGGCCUUAAGACAACAAUUCUGAUGGCUAAAGAUCCAAACGGGACAAAAAAAAAAAAAAGGUGUUUGAAGAUCGUCUGAGGUGGUAGAGACGCUGUCGGGCCUUUUUCACCACAGUGUUGAUGUGACAGGACCAUGACAGGUCCUGCGUGAUGUG
ensembl:lncRNA